AAAAAACGGACCUGGUCGGGGUUUUGGCCGUGCAUUUUUCGUUUGCCACACAAUCAACAACCGACUCAGAACUGGUACGAACAAGGGGAAUCCGACUGUUUAAUUAAAACAAAGCAUUGUGACGGUGCGUGAGCAUGUUGACACAAUGUGAUUUCUGCCCAGUGCUCUGAAUGUCAACGUGAAGGAAUUCACUAAAGCGCGGGUAAACGGCGGGAGUAACUAUGACUCUCUUAAGGUAGCCAAAUGCCUCGUCAUCUAAUUUGUGACGCGCACGAAUGGAUUAAUGAGAUUCCCACUGUCCCUAUCUGCCAUCCAGCGAAACCACAGCCAAGGGAACGGGCUUGGAAGAGACAGCGGGGAAAGAAGACCCUGUUGAGCUUGACUCUAGUCUGUUGUUGUGAAGGAGCCCCCGAGGUGUAGCGUAGGGGGGAGGAGCAAUCCGACCUUGAAACACCCCCACUUGGGGCGCUUCUUUACUUAUGUCGUAACGUGCGGCCGAGCUCUUAACGGAGCCGGAUUUUCGAAUCAAGUGCACUUUACUGUGCACGACGCAAGCGGCAAACACCAACAGGUGGGGAGUUUGACUGGGGCGGUACAUCUGUGAAACAAUAGCACAGGUGACCUAAGGAGAGCUCAGUGAGGACGGAAACCUCACGUAGACCAAAAGGGGAAAAGCUCUCUUGAUUUUGUCUUUCAGUGUGAGAACAAACCGGGAAACCGUGGCCUAUCGAUCCUUUAUGUCUCCGGAAUUUGGAGCUAGAGGUGUCAGAAAAGUUACCACAGGGAUAACUGGCUUGUGGCAGCCAAGCGUCCGAAGCGACGUUGCUUUUUGAUCCUUCGAUGUCGGCUCUUCUCAUCAUGCAGCCGCAGAAGACUGCAAGUGUUAGAUUGUUCACCUAUAAAAGAGGAACGUGAGCUGGGUUUAGACCGUCGUGAGACAGGUUAGUUUUACCCUACUGUCGAGUGGACUUUGAGACGCUAGGGAGAGGUAGUACGAGAGGAACUCUCUCUCCACGCAUUUAGUUCGUGGGUUGGCUGAACAGCCAGUGCCCAGACGCCACGCGUGUACCGAUAAAACCUGAAGGCCUCUCAAGGUUGAAUCGGGGGCGAACAUACAAAGUUGAUUGCGUGAGAUCGCCCGCGAGCAACAAUAUGCCUUUUGGCAUGUGCCAUAUUCUGCGACGUUGGCCCGUGCAUCCAAUUGCACGGCCAGCUACCUGAAUUACAAUUUCGGAUUUCACGCCGUUUGAUCAGAAGGAGACGACUUCUAGCGCUAGUCCCGGUGUACGUAGUGGAGCCUCGUUUGGGGCGACCUAUUGAGUCCGCGGAUCUUAGUUUGU
rnacentral:rRNA from 1 species